rnacentral:lncRNA from 1 species
UUUCUAAGAAUGAACUCGCAUAUUUACAGCAAUAGCAGAACAAGCUUAUAUAUGAAAAAGAUGCAAGACACUUGACAAUGCAACAUUGGACAGCUAAUACCAGUCUAUAUAGAGUUGAAUUAUUCUUAACACCUUCCCUUAAUUCAAAAUUAUUGCAAAGACACAACAUUCAUCAUCUUUCUCAAUUCUUUGAAUCUUUCACUCUUCAAUGGCUUGGUCAAUAUAUCUU